rnacentral:rRNA from 1 species
GGGUUGUGAGGUUAAGCGACUAAGCGUACACGGUGGAUGCCCUGGCAGUCAGAGGCGAUGAAGGACGUGCUAAUCUGCGAUAAGCGUCGGUAAGGUGAUAUGAACCGUUAUAACCGGCGAUUUCCGAAUGGGGAAACCCAGUGUGUUUCGACACACUAUCAUUAACUGAAUCCAUAGGUUAAUGAGGCGAACCGGGGGAACUGAAACAUCUAAGUACCCCGAGGAAAAGAAAUCAACCGAGAUUCCCCCAGUAGCGGCGAGCGAACGGGGAGCAGCCCAGAGCCUGAAUCAGUGUGUGUGUUAGUGGAAGCGUCUGGAAAGGCGCGCGAUACAGGGUGACAGCCCCGUACACAAAAAUGCACAUAUUGUGAGCUCGAUGAGUAGGGCGGGACACGUGGUAUCCUGUCUGAAUAUGGGGGGACCAUCCUCCAAGGCUAAAUACUCCUGACUGACCGAUAGUGAACCAGUACCGUGAGGGAAAGGCGAAAAGAACCCCGGCGAGGGGAGUGAAAAAGAACCUGAAACCGUGUACGUACAAGCAGUGGGAGCACGCUUAGGCGUGUGACUGCGUACCUUUUGUAUAAUGGGUCAGCGACUUAUAUUCUGUAGCAAGGUUAACCGAAUAGGGGAGCCGAAGGGAAACCGAGUCUUAACUGGGCGUUAAGUUGCAGGGUAUAGACCCGAAACCCGGUGAUCUAGCCAUGGGCAGGUUGAAGGUUGGGUAACACUAACUGGAGGACCGAACCGACUAAUGUUGAAAAAUUAGCGGAUGACUUGUGGCUGGGGGUGAAAGGCCAAUCAAACCGGGAGAUAGCUGGUUCUCCCCGAAAGCUAUUUAGGUAGCGCCUCGUGAAUUCAUCUCCGGGGGUAGAGCACUGUUUCGGCAAGGGGGUCAUCCCGACUUACCAACCCGAUGCAAACUGCGAAUACCGGAGAAUGUUAUCACGGGAGACACACGGCGGGUGCUAACGUCCGUCGUGAAGAGGGAAACAACCCAGACCGCCAGCUAAGGUCCCAAAGUCAUGGUUAAGUGGGAAACGAUGUGGGAAGGCCCAGACAGCCAGGAUGUUGGCUUAGAAGCAGCCAUCAUUUAAAGAAAGCGUAAUAGCUCACUGGUCGAGUCGGCCUGCGCGGAAGAUGUAACGGGGCUAAACCAUGCACCGAAGCUGCGGCAGCGACGCUUAUGCGUUGUUGGGUAGGGGAGCGUUCUGUAAGCCUGUGAAGGUGUGCUGUGAGGCAUGCUGGAGGUAUCAGAAGUGCGAAUGCUGACAUAAGUAACGAUAAAGCGGGUGAAAAGCCCGCUCGCCGGAAGACCAAGGGUUCCUGUCCAACGUUAAUCGGGGCAGGGUGAGUCGACCCCUAAGGCGAGGCCGAAAGGCGUAGUCGAUGGGAAACAGGUUAAUAUUCCUGUACUUGGUGUUACUGCGAAGGGGGGACGGAGAAGGCUAUGUUGGCCGGGCGACGGUUGUCCCGGUUUAAGCGUGUAGGCUGGUUUUCCAGGCAAAUCCGGAAAAUCAAGGCUGAGGCGUGAUGACGAGGCACUACGGUGCUGAAGCAACAAAUGCCCUGCUUCCAGGAAAAGCCUCUAAGCAUCAGGUAACAUCAAAUCGUACCCCAAACCGACACAGGUGGUCAGGUAGAGAAUACCAAGGCGCUUGAGAGAACUCGGGUGAAGGAACUAGGCAAAAUGGUGCCGUAACUUCGGGAGAAGGCACGCUGAUAUGUAGGUGAAGCGACUUGCUCGUGGAGCUGAAAUCAGUCGAAGAUACCAGCUGGCUGCAACUGUUUAUUAAAAACACAGCACUGUGCAAACACGAAAGUGGACGUAUACGGUGUGACGCCUGCCCGGUGCCGGAAGGUUAAUUGAUGGGGUCAGCGCAAGCGAAGCUCUUGAUCGAAGCCCCGGUAAACGGCGGCCGUAACUAUAACGGUCCUAAGGUAGCGAAAUUCCUUGUCGGGUAAGUUCCGACCUGCACGAAUGGCGUAAUGAUGGCCAGGCUGUCUCCACCCGAGACUCAGUGAAAUUGAACUCGCUGUGAAGAUGCAGUGUACCCGCGGCAAGACGGAAAGACCCCGUGAACCUUUACUAUAGCUUGACACUGAACAUUGAGCCUUGAUGUGUAGGAUAGGUGGGAGGCUUAGAAGUGUGGACGCCAGUCUGCAUGGAGCCGGCCUUGAAAUACCACCCUUUAAUGUUUGAUGUUCUAACGU